GAUGAACGCUAGCGGCAGGCUUAACACAUGCAAGUCGAGGGGUAUAGUUCUUCGGAGCUAGAGACCGGCGCACGGGUGCGUAACGCGUAUGCAAUCUACCUUUUGCAGAGGGAUAGCCCAGAGAAAUUUGGAUUAAUACCUCAUGGUAUGUGAGAAUGGCAUCAUUUUCACAUUAAAGUCACAACGGCAAAAGAUGAGCAUGCGUCCCAUUAGCUAGUUGGUAAGGUAACGGCUUACCAAGGCAACGAUGGGUAGGGGUCCUGAGAGGGAAGUCCCCCACACUGGUACUGAGACACGGACCAGACGCCUACGGGAGGCAGCAGUGAGGAAUAUUGGACAAUGGGCGCAAGCCUGAUCCAGCCAUGCCGCGUGCAGGAUGACGGUCCUAUGGAUUGUAAACUGCUUUUGUACAGGAAGAAACACUGGUUCGUGAACCAGCUUGACGGUACUGUAAGAAUAAGGAUCGGCUAACUCCGUGCCAGCCGCCGCCGUAAAAC
rnacentral:rRNA from 1 species